rnacentral:rRNA from 1 species
UACGUAGGGGGCUAGCGUUGUCCGGAUUUAUUGGGCGUAAAGAGCGUGUAGGCGGCCAAACAGGUCCGUUGUGAAAACUGGAGGCUUAACCUCCAGACGUCGACGGAAACCGCGUGGCUAGAGUCCGGAAGAGGAGAGUGGAAUUCCUGGUGUAGCGGUGAAAUGCGCAGAUAUCAGGAAGAACACCAAUGGCGAAGGCAGCUCUCUGGGACGGUACUGACGCUGAGACGCGAAAGCGUGGGGAGCGAACAGG